rnacentral:sRNA from 1 species
UCACAUACUUUUUACUGAUAGUAGGAC